rnacentral:rRNA from 1 species
UGGGGAAUUUUGGACAAUGGGCGCAAGCCUGAUCCAGCCAUGCCGCGAGAGUGAAGAAGGCCUUCGGGUUGUAAAGCUCUUUCGGACGGGAAGAAAUGGCGGGCUCUAACAUAGCCUGUCGAUGACGGUACCGUAAGAAGAAGCACCGGCUAACUACGUGCCAGCAGCCGCGGUAAUACGUAGGGGGCAAGCGUUGUCCGGAUUUACUGGGUGUAAAGGGCGCGCAGGCGGGAUAAAAAGUCAGUGGUGAAAUCCUACAGCUUAACUGUAGAACUGCCUUUGAUACUUUUAUUCUUGAGUUCGGGAGAGAGAGACGGAAUUCCAGGUGUAGUGGUGAAAUACGUAGAUAUCUGGAAGAACACCAGUUGCGAAGGCGGUCUCUUGGUCCGACACUGACGCUGAGGCGCGAAAGCGUGGGGAGCAAACA